AUGCACGCUGGCGGCGUGCCUAAUACAUGCCAGUCGAGCGAACAGACGAGGAGCUUGCUCCUCUGACGUUAGCGGCGGACGGGUGAGUAACACGUGGAUAACCUACCUAUAAGACUGGGAUAACUUCGGGAAACCGGAGCUAAUACCGGAUAAUAUAUUGAACCGCCUGGUUCAAUAGUGAAAGACGGUUUUGCUGUCACUUAUAGAUGGAUCCGCGCCGCAUUAGCUAGUUGGUAAGGUAACGGCUUACCAAGGCAACGAUGCGUAGCCGACCUGAGAGGGUGAUCGGCCACACUGGAACUGAGAAACGGUCCAGACUCCUACGGGAGGCAGCAGUAGGGAAUCUUCCGCAAUGGGCGAAAGCCUGACGGAGCAACGCCGCGUGAGUGAUGAAGGUCUUCGGAUCGUAAAACUCUGUUAUUAGGGAAGAACAAAUGUGUAAGUAACGAUGCACGUCUUGACGGUACCGAAGCAGAAAGCCACGGCUAACUACGU
rnacentral:rRNA from 1 species